AUUGAACGCUGGCGGCAGGCCUAACACAUGCAAGUCGAGCGAGCGGCGGACGGGUGAGGAAUGUAUGGGGACUGCCCGAUAGAGGGGGAUAACUACUGGAAACGGUGGCUAAUACCGCAUACUAUCGGAUAACCCAUAUGGGAUUAGCUAGUAGGUGGGGUAAAGGCUCACCUAGGCGACGAUCUCUAGCUGGUCUGAGAGGAUGAUCAGCCAAACCGGACCGAACACGCGGCCCAGACUCCUACGGAGGCAGCAGUGGGGAAUAAUGCACAAUGGGAGCAAGCCUGAUGCCGCCAUGCCGCGUGUAUGAAGAAGGCCUAAGGGUUGUAAAGUACUUUCAGCGGGUAGGCGUUACCCGCAGAAGAAGCACCGGCUAACUCCGUGCCAGCCGCCGCGGUAAUAA
rnacentral:rRNA from 1 species